GGGUUAGGGUUUUAGGCUCAGGGCCCAGGGUUAGGGUUUUAGGGUCAGGACCCAGGGUUAGGGUUUUAGGGUCAUGGCCCAGGGUUAGGGUUUUAGGGUCAGGGCCCAGGGUUAGGGUGAUUUCCAGGAAGUGACCUCACAGUGACUCAAGCUACCACUUACUGUUGAUUGUGAUGAAAUGCCAGCUGAGGCACAUGCCUUGGGAGCUAAGUGGUUGCUGCCCUUGACUACUAUGAAGACUGGUGUGGGAAGGGUCGCUUUGGAUGCACUUGAGCAGGGGUCCCCCAUCCCUGAGCCAUGGAGCCGUAAGGAGCCACACAGCAGGUGGGACCAUCCAGUUUCAGGAAAACAAGCUUAACACGCCCACUGAUUCUACAUUAUGCUCCUACCUCCCGGCAGCCUCGCCAGGCCCAGAACUCUCUCCAGUCAGCCUCUACAGACCAAGCUCAUGACUCACAAUGGCCUAUUUAGGCCCAUACCCUACCUCACGGCAGUCUCCGCAGAUGAGCCUACUGCCUCACAACAGCCUCCACAGGCACAGCUCCAUCGUUACAAUGGCCUCUUUAGACCCAGCUCCUGCCACCCAGCCUUCUCUCCAGGCCCUGAACUUUCUCCGUGGGACCACCCAGUUUCAGGAAAACAAGCUUAACACGCCCACUGAUUCUACAUUAUGCUCCUACCUCCCGGCAGCCUCGCCAGGCCCAGAACUCUCUCCAGUCAGCCUCUACAGACCAAGCUCAUGACUCACAAUGGCCUAUUUAGGCCCAUACCCUACCUCACGGCAGUCUCCGCAGAUGAGCCUACUGCCUCACAACAGCCUCCACAGGCACAGCUCCAUCGUUACAAUGGCCUCUUUAGACCCAGCUCCUGCCACCCAGCCUUCUCUCCAGGCCCUGAACUUUCUCCGUGGGACCAUCCAGUUUCAGGAAAACAAGCUUAACACGCCCACUGAUUCUACAUUAUGCUCCUACCUCCCGGCAGCCUCGCCAGGCCCAGAACUCUCUCCAGUCAGCCUCUACAGACCAAGCUCAUGACUCACAAUGGCCUAUUUAGGCCCAUACCCUACCUCACGGCAGUCUCUGCAGAUGAGCCUACUGCCUCACAACAGCCUCCACAGGCACAGCUCCAUCGUUACAAUGGCCUCUUUAGACCCAGCUCCUGCCGCCCAGCCUUCUCUCCAGGCCCUGAACUUUCUCCGUGGGACCAUCCAGUUUCAGGAAAACAAGCUUAACACGCCCACUGAUUCUACAUUAUGCUCCUACCUCCCGGCAGCCUCGCCAGGCCCAGAACUCUCUCCAGUCAGCCUCUACAGACCAAGCUCAUGACUCACAAUGGCCUAUUUAGGCCCAUACCCUACCUCACGGCAGUCUCCGCAGAUGAGCCUACUGCCUCACAACAGCCUCCACAGGCACAGCUCCAUCGUUACAAUGGCCUCUUUAGACCCAGCUCCUGCCGCCCAGCCUUCUCUCCAGGCCCUGAACUUUCUCCGUGGGACCACCCAGUUUCAGGAAAACAAGCUUAACACGCCCACUGAUUCUACAUUAUGCUCCUACCUCCCGGCAGCCUCGCCAGGCCCAGAACUCUCUCCAGUCAGCCUCUACAGACCAAGCUCAUGACUCACAAUGGCCUAUUUAGGCCCAUACCCUACCUCACGGCAGUCUCUGCAGAUGAGCCUACUGCCUCACAACAGCCUCCACAGGCACAGCUCCAUCGUUACAAUGGCCUCUUUAGACCCAGCUCCUGCCACCCAGCCUUCUCUCCAGGCCCUGAACUUUCUCCGUGGGACCACCCAGUUUCAGGAAAACAAGCUUAACACGCCCACUGAUUCUACAUUAUGCUCCUACCUCCCGGCAGCCUCGCCAGGCCCAGAACUCUCUCCAGUCAGCCUCUACAGACCAAGCUCAUGACUCACAAUGGCCUAUUUAGGCCCAUACCCUACCUCACGGCAGUCUCUGCAGAUGAGCCUACUGCCUCACAACAGCCUCCACAGGCACAGCUCCAUCGUUACAAUGGCCUCUUUAGACCCAGCUCCUGCCGCCCAGCCUUCUCUCCAGGCCCUGAACUUUCUCCGGUCUCCCUCUGUUGUCCGAGGCUGGAGGGUAGUAGUGCUAUCGUAGCUGACUGCAGCCUCAACCUUCCAGGCUGAAGCGAUCCUCCCAUCUCAACCUCCCACGUGGCUGAGACUACAGGUGCUUGCCACUAUGCCCAACUAAUAUUUGGUAUUUUCGUAUACGUGGAUUCCAGAGGGGUGACAGCGAAACGUGGGACCAUCCCGUUUCAGGAAAACAAGCUUAACACGCCCACUGAUUCUACAUUAUGAUUCUUCAGGCCCAGCAUCUGCCUCACUGUGGACCCCCCAAGCCAAGCUCCCAACCUUUCAGCAGCUUCUACACACCCAGCUCCCGCCUGCCAGUGGCCUCUUCAGGCCCAUGGGGCUCAUUCCUCACAACAGCCUUUCCAGUCCCAGUUUUUCCCUUCCGGCGGCCUCUCCGGGCUGAGAACCUCCUCAAGUCGGCCUCUCCAGACUCACUUGCACCCUCCAGGCGUCCUCUCCGGGCCAAGCUCCUCUUCCUGGCUGCGUCUCCAGGCCCGACUCCUGCCUCUCAACAACCUCUUUGGACUCAGUGCCUACCCAUCUCCUGGCGUCCUUGGUCGGCCCACAGCUUCCUCAAGCCAAGCUCCCCAGGCCCAGGUCAGGCCUCACGGUGCCCCCUCCACGAUGAGCUCCUGCCCUCCAAUGGCACCUGCAGGACCCAAAUGGUCUCCGGUCGGUGGGCUCCUCCACGCCAAGCUUGGGCCUCCCGGUGACCUCUGCAGGCCCAAGUUGUCCUGAAGUCGGCAUCUCCCAGCCAUGCCUCCCAGCAAGUAAGCAAGCUCUUUUGGCUCAACUCCUGCCCAGCUCCCAACCGCCUUUGUAGGUCCCGAACUUUCUCCAGCCAAGUUCUUUGGGCCUCAUUCCUGCCGCCCGGUGGCCUGUACGGGCCCAGCAAUGGUUGGAGAACGGCCUCUGCAGGUCCCGCUCUUGCCUCCCAGGGGCCUCUCCAGGCCCAGCUCUUGCCCCCACGGCGGCCACCUGGGGC